UACGUAGGUGGCAAGCGUUGUCCGGAAUUACUGGGCGUAAAGCGUCCGUCGGCGGUUUGUCAAGUUUCUUGUUUAAGCCUGAGGCUCAACUUCAGACCAGCAAGAAAAACUGACAAACUUGAGUCUGUUCGAGGUAACUGGAAUUCUCGGUGGAGGGGUGAGAUCCGUAGAUAUCGAGAGGAACGCCGAGCGCGAAAGCAGGUUACUAGAACAAGACUGACGCUUAGGGACGAAAGCUAGGGUAGCAAAGCGG
rnacentral:misc_RNA from 1 species